rnacentral:rRNA from 1 species
UACAGAGGUCUCAAGCGUUGUUCGGAUUCAUUGGGCGUAAAGGGUGCGUAGGCGGCGCGGUAAGUCGGGUGUGAAAUCUCGGGGCUUAACUCCGAAACUGCAUUCGAUACUGCCGUGCUUGAGGACUCGAGAGGAGACUGGAAUUUACGGUGUAGCGGUGAAAUGCGUAGAUAUCGUAAGGAAGACCAGUGGCGAAGGCGGGUCUCUGGACAGUUCCUGACGCUGAGGCACGAAGGCCAGGGGAGCAAACGGG